AUUGAACGCUGGCGGCAGGCCUAACACAUGCAAGUCGAGCGGAUGAAGGGAGCUUGCUCCUGGAUUCAGCGGCGGACGGGUGAGUAAUGCCUAGGAAUCUGCCUGGUAGUGGGGGAUAACGUCCGUAAACGGGCGCUAAUACCGCAUACGUCCUGAGGGUGAAAGGGGUGGAUCUUCAGACCUCGCGCUAUCAGAUGAGCCUAGGCCGGAUUAGCUAGUUGGUGGGGUAAAGGCCUACCAAGGCGACGAUCCGUAGCUGGUCUGAGAGGAUGAUCAGUCACACUGGAACUGAGACACGGUCCAGACUCCUACGGGAGGCAGCAGUGGGGAAUAUUGCACAAUGGGCGAAAGCCUGAUCCAGCCAUGCCGCGUGUGUGAAGAAGGUCUUCGGAUUGUAAAGCACUUUAAGUUGGGAGGAAGGGAAGUAAGUUAAUAUCUUGCUGUUUUGACGUUACCAACAGAAUAAGCAACGGCUAACUUCGUG
rnacentral:rRNA from 1 species